rnacentral:lncRNA from 1 species
UGAAUGAUUGAAUAAGAAUUAAAUUGAUCUUUUGAUGAACACUGUAAAGUUAAAGUUUUUCUUUGAAUUGUCUCAACAGGGUUAACACCAAUGAUAUCCUCCAAAGUUGAGCAACUCAUAGAGCUCUUCCUCCAAACAUCUAUUUGAUGUGUUAUCAUAGUUCAAAGAGAAAUUGUCACAUUUUUCUCCAUUGCUCUAAAGCGUGGAUUUUGUGGACGAGAUUGUUUUCUUCUUUCGGGACUAAGUGUGUUGUCUCCCUUAUAUUAUUUUCUCUUGAGCCACUAUACAUUAAUCUUUCUAUUUCUUGAUUCUUUGUUUUUCAUCUAAGGUUCUCUCCUCAUUUAUAUAUUUUCCCUUGCUCAUAAAAUUCUUCUUCUCUCCAAAAAAAAAAAAAAGCAUUUCAUCCACUGUUAGAAAAACAUUCGAUCCAAAUCAUAUAGCAAAGUUGUUUUCCUACCUAGAUUGUUUGUUUACAUGGUGUUUCAAAAUGGACCACUUCAUAUCACCAAACCUAAAAUUUUAGUUCACUUUUGGCUUAUUUCAUGGAAAAGGUUUGACACAAGCUCAAAAUACAAAUAAUAUUGCUGAUACAUACUUGAACGUCCAAACUGAAAUGAUAAAUUGCAUUUUAGGAAAUUUAAUCCGUUGUAUUUGUGGAGAAAAGCCAAAACAAUGCAAUAAUGCACUUGCACAAGCAGCAUAAUUCCUCUAGCAAGUUGUGAUUCUCUAUUGUU